CCCUUAACUUAUUUUUUGGUUUCGUUUUGGUCCCUUAACUUAUUUUUUGGUUUCGUUUUGGUCCUUUAACUUAUUUUUUGGUUUCACUUUGGUCCCUUAACUCUAAUACAUUCAUCCUAACAUAAAGGACCAAAGUGGUUGACGGAGGAAGAAUUAAGGGACCAAAACGAAACUAAAAAGUAAGUUAAAGGACGAAAACGAAACUUUUAAUAGUUAAGGGACCAAAACGAAACCAAAAAGUAAGUUAAGGGACCAAAACGAAACUUGUAAUAAUUAAGGGA
rnacentral:pre_miRNA from 1 species